UACGAAGGGGGCUAGCGUUGCUCGGAAUCACUGGGCGUAAAGCGCACGUAGGCGGCUUCUUAAGUCAGGGGUGAAAUCCUGGAGCUCAACUCCAGAACUGCCUUUGAUACUGAAGAUCUUGAGUUCGGGAGAGGUGAGUGGAACUGCGAGUGUAGAGGUGAAAUUCGUAGAUAUUCGCAAGAACACCAGUGGCGAAGGCGGCUCACUGGCCCGAUACUGACGCUGAGGCACGAAAGCGUGGGGAGCAAAC
rnacentral:rRNA from 1 species